CCCUUAGAUGUCCGGGGCCGCACGCGCGCUACACUGAAGGAAUCAGCGUGGCUUUCUCCCUGACCCGAAAGGGUUGGGAAACCCGUUGAAUCUCCUUCGUGAUAGGGAUUGGGGCUUGAAAUUGUUCCCCAUGAACGAGGAAUUCCCAGUAAGCGCGAGUCAUAAGCUCGCGUUGAUUACGUCCCUGCCCUUUGUACACACCGCCCGUCGCUACUACCGAUUGAACGGUUUAGUGAGGGCCUCGGAUUGGUCUCGGCCCGCUCUUUACCGGGCGGCGCCGUUGGUCGAGAAGACGCUCGAACUUGAUCGCUUGGAGAAAGUAAAAGUCGUAACA
rnacentral:rRNA from 1 species